GACGAAGGAUGCAAGCGUUAUCCGGAUUCAUUGGGUUUAAAGGGAGCGUAGGUGGCCUUAUAAGUCAGUGGUGAAAUCUUCGAGCUUAACUCGGAAAUUGCCAUUGAUACUGUAGGGCUUGAGUAUAGUUGCCGUUGGCGGAAUAUGACAUGUAGUGGUGAAAUACAUAGAGAUGUCAUAGAACACCGAUUGCGAAGGCAGCUGACGAAACUAUAACUGACACUGAGGCCUACGAAAGUGGCGGGGAAUCAAACAGG
rnacentral:rRNA from 1 species